UUUUUUAUUUUUUUACACCGAAAAACUUACAGCGUGUUUGGUUCGCUGUUUUCCCCCCCUCUGCAUGCGUAUUCCCCCCUAUGCAGCAGGCCCACCAGGAAACGGUUGUUUGGUUCGCUGUUUUCCCAUUCCCCGCCGAAUCGGUUACUCCCCCAUUACAUUGAUUGCGCGUAAUAGGCAUUGCGGCCCCUCAGCGCCGAUUACCCAUUCCGCGUCUUUCCCUUUUUUCUCUUCCGUUUUCUGCCCUCGUCCUCAACACUGUUAAAAGCUUCCCCAAAGUAAUCGACAGAGUCCUCGACGUUGUCAAAAGCUUCCCCAAAGUCGAUCCUUCCAAGUUAUUGGUAGAUAUUAGAAGAAGUUGGUGCUGGUUUUGGCUUUGGGGGAUUUGCAUAUACCCCAUCGGGCGGCUGAUCUCCCUCCCAAAUUCAAGUCCAUGCUAGUUCCUGGAAUGAUCCAACACGUCUUUUGCACUGGUAAUCUUUGCAUCAAGGAAGUUCAAGAUUACUUGAAGACACUUUGUCCUGACUUGCAUAUUACCAGAGGCGAAUAUGAUGAAGAUACAAGAUAUCCCGAGACCAAAACAUUAACUAUCGGACAAUUCAAGUUGGGAUUGUGCCAUGCCAUGGCCAUCAGACAGAGAUCUUGCUCUCUUUUUCUAAAGCUGCUAAAGGAUGCACGAAGGAUCUACAGUUUUAUGCAUUUGUAACUUGUGAUUCUUGCGGUAAGUAGCGCCUAAAAUUUGUUGGAAUCAUGUUGUGUUCAAGAACCAUACAAGCACAAAUGUAAUCCACUAAAUGCAUAAUCCCUGUAGUACUUAAUUUACAUUUGUUUAAUAUGUAUUCUCAUAAUCUCGUUACUACUAGAAAUCAAUUUUUGCUUAAUUUGUUGCAAAUAUUUUCCAGCAUCUUUAAAUAAAUGUGUUUGUCUUCUCUUUCCAUUUGGAUUUGGUGUUGCCUUCAACUCCGAACAUCCACGUCAAAUAAAAUGGGGUCUGUGGGUUGUUCACAAGCUAGUGCUGACUGCUAUUUAUGGCUCUAUACUGUUUAUGUACCAUUCCAAGUGGAGAGAAAGCAAGACCUGCAUUCUACAAAUAUGUUGCCUUCAUGUUCAUCUUGAAUGCACUAGAACUGUUUGCUUUACCUAGAGCUUCUUCCUAAAGAUCAAUAUACCGAUAUUGUUGUGGGAACAUAUCCAAAAAUGUAGAAUGUGCUUUACCUAGAGCUUCUUCCUAAAGAUCAGUUAGUCCUUGAUUUUUUUUUUCAGUAUGUACUAUGUGUUAUCAAGUAGAUUUGGAGUUUGAAUAUCUACAUCUAAAUUAUUUUCAUUUCCAAGCAGAGAUCUUUUCUGAUCAAUUUUCUUGUAACAAAAUAAAUAGUAUCAUUGUGUUUGUUAUUGUAGAAUUACAAGAGUCUUGUGAGUUUGAAUGGCUCACAGGUUUGAUGGAGUUUAUUUUU